UAAGCGGAGGAAAAGAAACCAACAGGGAUUGCCCUAGUAACGGCGAGUGAAGCGGCAACAGCUCAAAUUUGAAAUCUGGUGUCUUUGGCGUCCGAGUUGUAAUUUGCAGAGGGCGCUUUGGCAUUGGCAGCGGUCCAAGUUCCUUGGAACAGGACGUCACAGAGGGUGAGAAUCCCGUACGUGGUCGCUAGCCUUUACCGUGUAAAGCCCCUUCGACGAGUCGAGUUGUUUGGGAAUGCAGCUCUAAAUGGGAGGUAAAUUUCUUCUAAAGCUAAAUACUGGCCAGAGACCGAUAGCGCACAAGUAGAGUGAUCGAAAGAUGAAAAGCACUUUGGAAAGAGAGUUAAAAAGCACGUGAAAUUGUUGAAAGGGAAGCGCUUGCAGCCAGACUUGCCUGUAGUUGCUCAUCCGGGUUUCUACCCGGUGCACUCUUCUAUAGGCAGGCCAGCAUCAGUUUGGGCGGUUGGAUAAAGGUCUCUGUCAUGUACCUCUCUUCGGGGAGAACUUAUAGGGGAGACGACAUGCAACCAGCCUGGACUGAGGUCCGC
rnacentral:rRNA from 1 species